rnacentral:rRNA from 1 species
ACGAACGCUGGCGGCAGGCUUAACACAUGCAAGUCGAACGCAUCCUUCGGGGUGAGUGGCAGACGGGUGAGUAACACGUGGGAACGUACCUUUCGGUUCGGGAUAACCCAGGGAAACUUGGGCUAAUACCGGAUACGUCCUUUGGGAGAAAGAUUUAUUGCCGAGAGAUCGGCCCGCGUCUGAUUAGCUAGUUGGUGAGGUAACGGCUCACCAAGGCGACGAUCAGUAGCUGGUCUGAGAGGAUGAUCAGCCACACUGGGACUGAGACACGGCCCAGACUCCUACGGGAGGCAGCAGUGGGGAAUAUUGGACAAUGGGCGCAAGCCUGAUCCAGCCAUGCCGCGUGAGUGAUGAAGCCCUAGGGUUGUAAAGCUCUUUCGGCGGGGACGAUAAUGACGGUACCCGCAGAAGAA